rnacentral:snRNA from 1 species
UUACUUACCUGGCAGGGGAGACAUCAUGAUCAGGCAGGUGGUUUUCCCAGGGCGAGGCUCAUCCCCUGCUCUCCGGGUGUGCUGACCCCUGCGAUUUCCCCUGUGAUGCUUCAAAUACGUUGAAGGUAAAGCUGUUAAAUAGAGGUUAGAAUUUCAUGCUAUGUUUGCAGGUCUAAAGA